AGGCUCAUUAUUCUGAAAUCUGGGAGCUGUCAGAAUUUGGUGCCAAAAAAAGCUGGUUGCUUCCUCUUGGGAUGCAGAAUUAAGCAGCUCUGUGGUUUUAUAUUUAGCACAGGCAUCAAAGGAGGAAACUGCACAACUUGCUUAUAAUCUAAAAUAAUUACCUAAAGGGGUGGAGGGAAUUAAAAUGUGGAGGAGCAGAGAAAAUAAACUUUAUAUAUGACCUCCUGAGCCCUGCUGGCAUGGAGCCUCACCCUGUUCUAAAUGUCUGCUACCAUGACCUUGAACAAAUGUGCAAACAACAAAGUGCACACAGGAUCACGAGCGUGCUGUGCAAACACGCUGCAGCUCUAAUGUGUUUUCUAUGACGAUAUGAGGCCACAAAUAAAUA